rnacentral:rRNA from 1 species
GAUGAACGCUGGCGGCGUGCCUAAUACAUGCAAGUCGAGCGAACAGAUGAGGAGCUUGCUCCUCUGACGUUAGCGGCGGACGGGUGAGUAACACGUGGAUAACCUACCUAUAAGACUGGGAUAACUUCGGGAAACCGGAGCUAAUACCGGAUAAUAUAUUGAACCGCAUGGUUCAAUAGUGAAAGACGGUUUUGCUGUCACUUAUAGAUGGAUCCGCGCCGCAUUAGCUAGUUGGUAAGGUAACGGCUUACCAAGGCAACGAUGCGUAGCCGACCUGAGAGGGGGAUUGGCCACACUGGAACUGAGACACGGUCCAGACUCCUACGGGAGGCAGCAGUAGGGAAUCUUCCGCAAUGGGCGAAAGCUUGACGGAGCAACGCCGCGUGAGUGAUGAAGGUCUUCGGAUCGUAAAACUCUGUUAUUAGGGAAGAACAAAUGUGUAAGUAACUAUGCACGUCUUGACGGUACCUAAUCAGAAAGCCACGGCUAACUACGUG